rnacentral:rRNA from 1 species
UGAGGAAUAUUGCACAAUGGGCGCAAGCCUGAUGCAGCGACGCCGCGUGAGUGAAGAAGGCCUUCGGGUCGUAAAGCUCUUUUCUGCGUGACGAGCAAGGACGGUAGCGCAGGAAUAAGUCUCGGCUAACUACGUGCCAGCAGCCGCGGUAAAACGUAGGAGACAAACGUUAUCCGGAGUUACUGGGCGUAAAGGGCGUGCAGGCGGUCUGUUAAGUCUGGCGUGAAAGCUCUCGGCUAAACCGGGAGAGGUCGUUGGAUACUGACGGACUAGAGGACGGUAGAGGCGUGUGGAAUUCCGGGUGUAGUGGUGAAAUGCGUAGGGAGAUCCGGAGGAACACCAGUGGCGAAGGCGACACGCUGGGCCGCACCUGACGCUAAGACGCGACAGCAUGGGGAGCGAACGGGAUUAGAAACCCCGGUAGUCCAUGCCGUAAACGAUGCCAGCUAGGUGUUCAGGGGGCGCAAGCCGUCGGGUACCGAAGCAAACGCGAUAAGCUGGCCG